AACAAACGCUGGCGGCGUGCCUAAUACAUGCAAGUCGAACGGGGAAAGCUUUCGGGUGAGUACUAGUGGCGCACGGGUGAGUAACGCGUGGAUAAUCUGCCUUAGAGUGGGGGAUAACUAGUCGAAAGAUUAGCUAAUACCGCAUAAGACCACAAGAACUGCGGUUCAAGAGGUCAAAGGUUUUUCGCUCUAAGAUGAGUCCGCGUAAGAUUAGCUAGUUGGUGAGGUAACGGCUCACCAAGGCAACGAUCUUUAACUGGUCUGAGAGGAUGAUCAGUCACACGGGAACGCAGACACGGUCCAGACUCCUACGGGAGGCAGCAGUAGGGAAUAUUGCACAAUGGAGGAAACUCUGAUGCAGCGACGCCGCGUGAGUGAUGAAGGCCUUCGGGUCGUAAAGCUCUGUCGCAGGGGGAUAACACAAUGAAUGUACCCUGUAAGAAAGGAUCGGCUAACUUCGUGCCAGCCGCCGCCGUAAAAC
rnacentral:rRNA from 1 species